rnacentral:lncRNA from 10 species
AACAUAGGCAUGGUUGAAACAUAGGUUUUAGUACUGAAGCCCAUGGGAUUUGUCUUCUGACUAAUUAGGCUUUGAUUUCAGAACCACAGACGAUGCAUUUUCUCCACAUUGUCUCUUCUGUUCCUGCAAACCCCAGAGAACAUGCUGUAUGAGUGUGAUGGAAAUAAUUUCACUUUCUCUGACUUAUGAUUAGUGAAGAGGAUUUCAGGCUGGCAUCAAGUUACAGAGAUGGGGCCUGGAUGUGUUGCUUAGGCUGUGUGAAACACCUGGUCUUAAGCGAUCCUCUCACCCUGGCCUCCCAAAGCAUUGGGAUUACAGGGAGAAAAGAAUGGGAACUGUGAGGAAAAGAAUGACAUGAACAAUGGGAAGACCAAGGUCCCAGCACAAGUAGUAGAUGCUGAGGAAAGAAGAAGUAUGUUGUGGAGUAAGUGAGUGGGCCUGAGUUGAGAAGAUCCUGGCCUUGGAUUUUAAAACUGUCAGGUGACUAUGGUUGUGCUGGUCUCUGCUUUUCAUUAUGGAUAUAUGUGAGCUUUAUUUUCUAUUAAGGUAAGUGGCUCCAGUCAACACUGUGCCAGGGUUUCUUAAUUUUCAAAGGUGAACAAAUGAGAUUCUGGACAUUAAAUCUCAACAUCUUAAGGUAAUGGUUCACAGAAAUUAAUUUGGGAGGAAUCAUAGACCAAAAAGCUAGGGCUGGGCGCAGUGGCUCACGCCUGUAAUCCCAGCACUUUGGGAAGCUGAGGCGGGUGGAUCACUUGAGGUCAGGAGUUCGAGACCAGCCUGGCUAACAUGGUGAAACCCUAUCUUUACUAAAAAUAUGAAAAUUA